UCCGAUUUGGUGUAGUGGCUAACAUUCUCGCCUCUGGUGUUUUCAGGUGUGCGAUAGCUUGGGUUCGAUUCCCCGCGUCGGAA